rnacentral:lncRNA from 1 species
UGAUUUUAUAAGUAUUUCCCAAAACCAAAGAUUUUUGUUUUGAUACUGAACAAGUAUGGAAUUUGAGAUGAUAUUUUGGAAGAUGGAAUCAUUAUAUUUAUGUCAAGGUUGAAAUUGGAUUUUUAUGAUAUUACGAUUUGAAGUUUUCCUUUAUCAAAUUAUUUACCGAGAUUUGAAUUGAAAUUUAUAUCAUGAUUUUUGAGUUGAAAAUAGGAAUCCACAAUUUAUUAUGAUUCAAUUAUGACAAAUAUGAUUUGGCCUUCAUUAUAGGCC